rnacentral:rRNA from 1 species
GAUGAACGCUGGCGGCGUGCCUAAUACGUGCAAGUCGAGCGAACAGACGAGGAGCUUGCUCCUCUGACGUUAGCGGCGGACGGGUGAGAAACACGUGGAUAACCUACCUAUAAGACUGGGAUAACUUCGGGAAACCGGAGCUAAUACCGGAUAAUAUAUUGAACCGCAUGGUUCAAUAGUGAAAGACGGUUUUGCUGUCACUUAUAGAUGGAUCCGCGCCGCAUUAGCUAGUUGGUAAGGUAACGGCUUACCAAGGCAACGAUGCGUAGCCGACCUGAGAGAGUGAUCGGCCACACUAGAACUGAGACACGGUCCAGACUCCUACGGGAGGCAGCAGUAGGGAAUCUUCCGCAAUGGGCGAAAGCCUGGCGGAGCAACGCCGCGUGAGUGAUGAAGGUCUUCGGAUCGUAAAACUCUGUUAUUAGGGAAGAACAAAUGUGUAAGUAACUAUGCACGUCUUGACGGUACCUAAUCAGAAAGCCACGGCUAACUACGUG